rnacentral:rRNA from 1 species
UACGGAGGGGGCAAGCGUUGUUCGGAAUCAUUGGGCGUAAAGGGCGCGUAGGCGGCCGACCAAGUCGGGUGUGAAAUCCCUCGGCUCAACCGAGGAACUGCACUCGAUACUGGUUGGCUAGAGUCCGGAAGAGGCGAGUGGAAUUCCUGGUGUAGCGGUGGAAUGCGCAGAUAUCAGGAGGAACACCGGUGGCGAAGGCGGGUCUCUGGGCAGUAACUGACGCUGAGGAGCGAAAGCGUGGGGAGCGAACAGG